rnacentral:misc_RNA from 1 species
AUGAAGAACGCAGCGAAAUGCGAUAAGUAGUGUGAAUUGCAGAAUUCAGUGAAUCAUCGAAUCUUUGAACGCACAUUGCGCCCUUUGGUAUUCCUUAGGGCAUGCCUGUUCGAGCGUCAUUUAAACCUUCAAGCUCAGCUUGGUGUUGGGUGACUGUCCGCUUCACCGCGGACUCGCCUCAAAAUUAUUGGCGGCCGGUACAUUGGCUUCGAGCGCAGCAGAAACGCGAACUCGGGCCCGUCGUAUUGGCUCCCAGAAGCUAUCUUCACAAUUUUGACCUCGGAUCAGGUAGGGAUACCCGCUGAACUUAAGCAUAUCAAUAAGCGGAGGA